rnacentral:rRNA from 1 species
CCUACGGGAGGCUGCAGUGGGGAAUAUUGGGCAAUGGGCGCAAGCCUGACCCAGCAACGCCGCGUGAAGGAAGAAGGCUUUCGGGUUGUAAACUUCUUUUAAGAGGGAAGAGCAGAAGACGGUACCUCUUGAAUAAGCCACGGCUAACUACGUGCCAGCAGCCGCGGUAAUACGUAGGUGGCAAGCGUUGUCCGGAUUUACUGGGUGUAAAGGGCGUGCAGCCGGGAAGACAAGUCAGAUGUGAAAGCCCGCGGCUCAACCGCGGAACUGCAUUUGAAACUGUGUUUCUUGAGUACCGUAGAGGUCAUCGGAAUUCGUUGUGUAGCGGUGAAAUGCGUAGAUAUAAGGAAGAACACCAGUGGCGAAGGCGGAUGACUGGACGGCAACUGACGGUGAGGCGCGAAAGCGUGGGGAGCAAACAGGAUUAGAUACCCCUGUAGUC